GUCGACGCACACGGAGGAAAGCGAGCCCGGCUGAGGAGAGACGCCGUCGUCAUGGCGACCGAAGGCCGCUCCGAGCAGAUGGAGAAGCCGCGGCGCUUUGAAAUGGAAAAUGGUGAAACAGAAACUUGUGACUCAACUUAUGCCCCGUGUUCUGUAACUUCAGAAAGAAGUUGUGGUGUUUCAACUUCACCCUUGACUUUAUGUCAAAGGAAUGUAGAUACUACAGUACUGAAAAA